GAUGAACGCUAGCUACAGGCUUAACACAUGCAAGUCGGAGGGGCAGCAUGGUCUUAGCUUGCUAAGGCCGAUGGCGACCGGCGCACGGGUGAGUAACGCGUAUCCAACCUUCCCCGCAGUAGGGCAUAGCCCGGCGAAAGUCGGAUUAAUACCCUAUGUUCUUCGUUGCGGGCAUCUAAGAUGAAGCAAAGAUUUAUCGCUGCGGGAUGGGGAUGCGUCUGAUUAGGUAGUCGGCGGGGUAACGGCCCACCGAGCCAUCGAUCAGUAGGGGUUCUGAGAGGAAGGUCCCCCACAUUGGUACUGAGACACGGACCAAACUCC
rnacentral:rRNA from 1 species